UGCGGUUCCUUCCACAGUGUAACCCACCGAAGCUUUGCCGCAGCGACUCUAAACAAUUGCACCAGUCCGCUCUGCGGGCAACACCAUGAUCUCACUGGGACCUCCAUCCUGCCUGCCGGGUGUGGACACCAGUGGCCUGUUCAGCACAGGUUCACAGAUCAAACAGUGGUGGCCAACAGCUCGGCUCGCCUGAACCGGUUGGUUAAGAUAUGACCGGUCUCCACUGUAACCAGCUGGAGGGCACACGUUCCGUAGGUGAACCUGCGGAAGGAUCAUU
rnacentral:rRNA from 1 species